rnacentral:lncRNA from 1 species
ACAUUCUCAGUAUUGUUUUUUUUCUUUUUGUCUUUUUUUUUUUUGGACAGCGUCUCGCUACGAAAUCCAGGCCGUCUUCGAACUCAAAGUGAUCCUCCCACCUCAGCCUCCUGAGUGCGCCGCGACACCCAGCUGCAGCAUUGCUCCUGUACGCAGAGGGUGCACAGAAGACAUUGUUGUGGCAGCCGGGGACUCAGAAGGAAAUCAAGACAUUUCCAAAGGAACAAAAAAUGCCAAAAAAGCAAUUAGAAAGAGACAGAAAUUAAACGAUGGAAGAAGGAAUCUUGGAACUUCAGGAGGUAAGAAGGAAUAAAAAGGGUAAAAACAAGGCUAAAUACAAGUACAAAUGUCUUUUUCUCUAAAUUGUGUUUGAUGAUUGGUGCAAGAUUUAUAACAAUGUCCUAUGUGAUUCUAAAAAUAUAUAGAGGAAGCGAUGUGACAAUGGUAUAGAUGAGGGUGGGCUUAGAGAUAUGAGGUGGAGUUUCUUACUCCAUAUGAACUGGUAAAAUGUCAACACCGGUCACCUGUGAUGUUAUGUAUUUAACAUAAUGUAACCACUAAGAAUCUGUAUAACAUGCUGCCCUUAAAACAGUAUAGAUAAGUGUAUGCGGUUCUUAAAAAUUUUAAGUAACCCCCGGGAAGUAUAACAAUGAAACGAAUAAUAUAGGAAAUAGCGCCCAAAAGACAAAAUUCUGGACUUCGUCCCCGAC